UAGAAGAAGAAAGAGAGAACCUACUUGGUUGGUUGGUUGUAGUAUGGCGCUAAUCAAGAGUCACACAGGGGUUCCAUGGUUGGUGGCACUUGCGGCUAUGGCCAUCAUCUUGUUCUCCCAUUGCGCACAAGGCGUGGACAAAUGUAUCAAGAGUGGCGUGUGCAUCUCCGUCUGCCCUACUUUGUGUCUCGAACUGGUCGGUGAUGACACAAGGUACUACUGCAAGAGCGAUGAUAGUGAAUGUUGUUGCCCACCCAACACGUUGACAGAAUGGUGCAUUAGCAGGCCAUUCUGUGAUCCCUCGGCCUGUGAGGAAUUGUGCAAAGGAAAUCACUUCUAUGUUGGUGGAGCCUACUGCAAGAAUAUUACCCACCCACUGAAAUAUGUUAAGUGUUGCUGCCCCUUAAAACACAACGCCGCCAUGCAUGGCUAAUAGAGCAUGAGUUGUUGUAUUAGCCUCUAUUUAUGUCACAAUUUUCAUAGUAUGUUAUCAUUAGUCAUUGUCCUAGAGGCUAAUAGAGCGGCUUAUGUUCGAGCUAGUCAAUUGGUGGAUGCCCAAAACUAUAACUGAUUGUGGAUAUCCACCAGAUUUGCUUGUUCUUGCUAAUUAAUUAAUUUAAGGAAUAAAUGCUAGUCUGGAGAGAUGGAA